rnacentral:rRNA from 1 species
GAGUUUGAUCCUGGCUCAGGACGAACGCUGGCGGCGCGCUUAACACAUGCAAGUCGUACGGGAUCAGGGCUUCGGCUCUGGUUCAGUGGCGAACGGGUGCGUAACACGUGAGCAAUCUGCCUUGGGGUGGGGGAUAACCCGUGGAAACGCGGGCUAAUACCGCAUGACCUUGCGAUCCCGCAUGGGGAUGCAAGGAAAGGAGCUUAACGGCUUCGCCUUGAGAGGAGCUCGCGGCGUAUCAGGUAGAUGGUGGGGUAACGGCCUACCAUGCCAACGACGCGUAGCCGAUCUGAGAGGAUGAUCGGCCACAUUGGGACUGAGAUACGGCCCAGACUCCUACGGGAGGCAGCAGUGGGGAAUCUUGCGCAAUGGGCGAAAGCCUGACGCAGCGACGCCGCGUGGGGGAGGAAGCUCUUCGGAGUGUAAACCCCUGUCAGGAGGGAAGAACGGGCGCCUCAGGAAAUGGGGGCGUUUUGACGGUACCUCCAAAGGAAGCACCGGCUAACUCUGUGCCAGCAGCCGCGGUAAUACAGAGGGUGCGAGCGUUGUUCGGAAUUACUGGGCGUAAAGCGCGCGCAGGCGGUCCUUUAAGUCUACCCGUGAAAUGCCGGAGCUCAACUCCGUGCACGCCGGGGGAUACUGGAGGACUGGAGACGAGUAGAGGCAAGCGGAAUUCCGGGUGUAGCGGUGGAAUGCGUAGAUAUCCGGAAGAACACCGGAGGCGAAGGCGGCUUGCUGGGCUUGGUCUGACGCUGAGGCGCGAAAGCGUGGGGAGCGAACAGGAUUAGAUACCCUGGUAGUCCACGCCGUAAACGAUGGGCACUAGACGCGGGUGGGAUCGACCCCUUCCGUGUCGCAGCUAACGCGCUAAGUGCCCCGCCUGGGGAGUACGGCCGCAAGGCUGAAACUCAAAGGAAUUGACGGGGGCCCGCACAAGCGGUGGAGCAUGUGGUUUAAUUCGAAGCAACGCGAAGAACCUUACCUGGGCUUGACAUCUACGGGAAACCUCGGUGAAAGCCGAGGCCCUCUUCGGAGUUCGUAGACAGGUGCUGCAUGGCUGUCGUCAGCUCGUGUCGUGAGAUGUUGGGUUAAGUCCCGCAACGAGCGCAACCC